AGCUGAUGCAUAUGGCGGUCUCCUCCCAGUUCCGCCGCAGCAGCUGUUCCCCUCUGGAGUCAAAGAUCUCCACACUUUAUGGGCCGCGGUUACUCCGUCGGCCCUUUCUU
rnacentral:sRNA from 1 species